rnacentral:rRNA from 1 species
UACAGAGGGUGCGAGCGUUGUUCGGAAGUAUUGGGCGUAAAGCGCUUGUAGGCGGCUUGUUAAGUUCCGUGUGAAAUCCCCAGGCUUAACCUGGGAAGUGCGCGGAAAACUGGCGAGCUUGAGUGCCGGAGAGGGUCGCGGAAUUCCCGGUGUAGAGGUGAAAUUCGUAGAUAUCGGGAGGAACACCAGUGGCGAAGGCGGCGACCUGGACGGACACUGACGCUGAGACGCGAAAGCGUGGGGAGCAAACAGG